GAUGAACGCUGGCGGCGUGCCUAAUACAUGCAAGUCGAGCGAACAGACGAGGAUCUUGUUCCUCUCACGUUAGCGGCGGACGGGUGAGUAACACGUGUAUAACCUACCUAUAAGACUGGUAUAACUUCGGGAAACCGGAUCUAAUACCGGAUAAUAUAUUGAACCGCAUGGUUCAUUAGUGAAAGACGGUGUUUCUGUCUCUUAUAGAUGGAUCUGCGCCGCAUUAGCUAGUUGGUAGGGUAACGGCUUACCAAGGCAACGAUGCGUAGCCGACCUGAGAGGGGGAUCGGCCACCCGGGAGCUGAGACGCGGUCCAGACUCCUACGGGAGGCCGCAGUAGGGAAUCGUACGCAAUAGGCGAGAGCCUGACGGAGCAACGCCGCGUGUGUGAUGAAGGUGUUCGGAUCGUAAAACUCUGUUAUUAGGGAAGAACAAAUGUGUAAGUAACUGUGCACGUCUUGACGGUACCUGGUCAGAAAGCAACGGCUAACUACGUG
rnacentral:rRNA from 1 species